rnacentral:rRNA from 1 species
AUUGAACGCUGGCGGCAUGCCUUACACAUGCAAGUCAAACGGUAACGCGGGGCAACCUGGCGACGAGUGGCGAACGGGUGAGUAAUGUAUCGGAACGUGCCCAGUUGUGGGGGAUAACUGCUCGAAAGAGCAGCUAAUACCGCAUACGACCUGAGGGUGAAAGCGGGGGAUCGCAAGACCUCGCGCAAUUGGAGCGGCCGAUAGCAGAUUAGGUAGUUGGUGAGGUAAAGGCUCACCAAGCCGACGAUCUGUAGCUGGUCUGAGAGGACGACCAGCCACACUGGGACUGAGACACGGCCCAGACUCCUACGGGAGGCAGCAGUGGGGAAUUUUGGACAAUGGACGCAAGUCUGAUCCAGCCAUGCCGCGUGCGGGAAGAAGGCCUUCGGGUUGUAAACCGCUUUUGUCAGGGAAGAAACGCUCUGGGUUAAUACCUCGGGGUAAUGACGGUACCUGAAGAAUAAGCACCGGCUAACUACGUGCCAGCAGCCGCAGUAACAC